rnacentral:misc_RNA from 1 species
AACAAGGCGUACCUGCGGACCUGCGGAGGGAUCAUUACCGAGUUUACAACUCCCAAACCCCUGUGAACAUACCUAUACGUUGCCUCGGCGGAUCAGCCCGCGCCCCGUAAAAAGGGACGGCCCGCCCGAGGACCCCUAAACUCUGUUUUUAGUGGAACUUCUGAGUAAAACAAACAAAUAAAUCAAAACUUUCAACAAUGGAUCU